UAGGUUACCAACAGACAGGUGCUAGGUUACCAACAGACAGGUGCUAGGUUACCAACAGACAGGUGCUAGGUUACCAACAGACAGGUGCUAGGUUACCAACAGACAGGUGCUAGGUUACCAACAGACAGGUGCUAGGUUACCAACAGACAGGUGCUAGGUUACCAACAGACAGGUGCUAGGUUACCAACAGACAGGUGCUAGGUUACCAACAGACAGGUGCUAGGUUACCAACAGACAGGUGCUAGGUUACCAACAGACAGGUGCUAGGUUACCAACAGACAGGUGCUAGGUUACCAACAGACAGGUGCUAGGUUACCAACAGACAGGUGCUAGGUUACCAACAGACAGGUGCUAGGUUACCAACAGACAGGUGCUAGGUUACCAACAGACAGGUGCUAGGUUACCAACAGACAGGUGCUAGGUUACCAACAGACAGGUGCUAGGUUACCAACAGACAGGUGCUAGGUUACCAACAGACAGGUGCUAGGUUACCAACAGACAGGUGCUAGGUUACCAACAGACAGGUGCUAGGUUACCAACAGGGAGGUGCUAGGUUACCAACAGGGAGGUGCUAGGUUACCAACAGGGAGGUGCUAGGUUACCAACAGGGAGGUGCUAGGUUACCAACAGGGAGGUGCUAGGUUACCAACAGGGAGGUGCUAGGUUACCAACAGGGAGGUGCUAGGUUACCAACAGGGAGGUGCUAGGUUACCAACAGGGAGGUGCUAGGUUACCAACAGGGAGGUGCUAGGUUACCAACAGGGAGGUGCUAGGUUACCACCGGUGUGUGUUAAGCCUUAAGUUCUUCUCUGUACCAUGUUAUCAGAAAACACACAUGGAAUAUGAGUGUGUGUGUGAGGUCUGAC